UUUUAAUUUCUCGCCUGUUUCUCUCUUGGGGGUGCCUGGUGCUGCCUUGACUGGGCGCCUACGCAAUGCCUAGUUAAAGGCGCCUCACCUAGAGGCUUCCCAGGCGAGGUGCUUGGAUUUCACCUUGCUCGGGCGCCUCUUGACAACACUGAAAUAUCACAUCACAUCACAUAAACAUACAUUGCCCAUGACAAUGACAUAAAACUACUUACACACCAAAUAUAGUCUAUAAUAAUAUAUGGGAGCUAAUCUCCUAAUUCAACCAUUGUAAUCCAAUCUUUGUUGGAAAGCUCAACUCAAGUGAAACUCAUGAUAAAUAUCAAACUGUCAAGUGCUAGCAGGCUCAACUUGAGUGAGUCAUAUCUUGCACGUAUGUGUAUCCAUAUAUAACCUAUCAGGUGCCAAUGUUUAACACGCGUGCACGCAAAUACACACAAAACCAGCUCCAUGUCACCACAUCAUAGCGGGACAACACAAUAAAUAAGCAAUAACAAUCAUACGUGAAUAAUUUUAUGCCUUAAUUAAUAUGUAACUAAUUUACAUAUAAUUGAUAAUGCAUGAACAUUUCAACUUAAAUUUAUAUAAAACUAUUGAUGUCAUGUUGCAAUAUUCAAUAUCUAUUCAUCGACUGAAAGACCAAAAGAAGCUCUAGUUGCCGAGAGCUGAACUAGAAGGAAAAGAAUUUGGAAUGCCUAUAAUUAUAUAUAACAAUUUCAUUAGAUGUUUGGAAAGAAAACUCUAAAAAAAUUGUUAAGAAAAAAUGCUAAGGAAUAUAAAGUAAGUCCUAGCAGUUCUAUAAAAAAUCCAGCAGUUUUCUUUUUUAACUAUGACCACGAAGAACAUUCAAACGGGAAAGAGAAAAAAUUCUUAAAUUUUCUAUUAAUUCUCAAUUGUCAAUGUCAAUACUCAAUAAUAAAAGCUUUCUAGCAAAUACAUAAGUUACAUAGGUAUUUGUAGACUAAUAACUAAUCCUACUACUAUUAGGAUUAGGAA
rnacentral:misc_RNA from 1 species